AGAAUCAACGCUGGCGGCGUGCCUAACACAUGCAAGUCGAACGAGAAAGUGGAGCAAUCCAUGAGUAAAGUGGCGCACGGGUGAGUAACACGUGACUAACCUACCCUUGAGUGGGGGAUAACCUAAGGGAAACCUGGGCUAAUACCGCAUAAUACCUUCGGGUCAAAGGAGCAAUUCGCUUAAGGAGGGGUCGCGGCCGAUUAGUUAGUUGGCGGGGUAAUGGCCCACCAAGACGAUGAUCGGUAU
rnacentral:rRNA from 1 species